GCAGUCGAGGGGCAGCACAGGUAGCAAUACUGGGUGGCGACCGGCGCACGGGUGCGUAACGCGUAUGCAACCUACCUAUAAUAGGGGGAUAGCCUUCUGAAAGGGAGAUUAAGACCGCAUAAUACAACUGACUCGCAUGGAUUGGUUGUAAAAUAUUUAUAGAUUAUAGAUGGGCAUGCGUCUGAUUAGAUAGUUGGAGAGGUAACGGCUCACCAAGUCAACGAUCAGUAGGGGUUCUAAGAGGAAGGUCCCCCACAUUGGAACUGAGACACGGUCCAAACUCCUACGGGAGGUAGCAGUGAGGAAUAUUGGUCAAUGGGCGAGAGCCUGAACCAGCCAUCCCGCGUGCAGGAAGAAUGCCCUAUGGGUUGUAAACUGCUUUUUCGCAUGAAGAACAUCCCGAACGUGUUUGGGACUGACGGUAAUGCGUGGAUAAGCACCGGCUAACUCCGUGCCAGCAGCCGCGGUAAUACGGAGGGUGCAAGCGUUAUCCGGAUUUAUUGGGUUUAAAGGGUGCGUAGGCGGCUAUUUAAGUCAGUGGUGAGAUCCUGCAGCUCAACUGUAGAACAGCCAUUGAAACUGAGUAGCUUGAGUGAUCUUGAGGUAGGCGGAAUGUGUAGUGUAGCGGUGAAAUGCUUAGAUAUUACACAGAACACCGAUUGC
rnacentral:rRNA from 1 species